CUCAGAUUGAACGCUGGCGGCAUGCUUUACACAUGCAAGUCGAACGGUAACAGGCCGCAAGGUGCUGACGAGUGGCGAACGGGUGAGUAAUGCAUCGGAACGUGCCCAGUCGUGGGGGAUAACGCAGCGAAAGCUGCGCUAAUACCGCAUACGAUCUAUGGAUGAAAGCGGGGGACCGUAAGGCCUCGCGCGAUUGGAGCGGCCGAUGUCAGAUUAGGUAGUUGGUGGGGUAAAGGCUCACCAAGCCGACGAUCUGUAGCUGGUCUGAGAGGACGACCAGCCACACUGGGACUGAGACACGGCCCAGACUCCUACGGGAGGCAGCAGUGGGGAAUUUUGGACAAUGGGCGCAAGCCUGAUCCAGCAAUGCCGCGUGCAGGAAGAAGGCCUUCGGGUUGUAAACUGCUUUUGUACGGAACGAAAAGGCUCUGGUUAAUACCUGGGGCACAUGACGGUACCGUAAGAAUAAGCACCGGCUAACUACGUGCCAGCAGCCGCGGUAA
rnacentral:rRNA from 1 species